rnacentral:rRNA from 1 species
GAUGAACGCUGGCGGCGUGCCUAAUACAUGCAAGUCGAGCGAACAGACGAGGAUCUUGCUCCUCGCACGUUAGCGGCGGGCGGGUGAGUAACACGUGGAUAACCCACCUAUAAUACUGGGAUCACUUCGGGAAACCGGCGCUAAUACCGGAGAAUAUAUUGAACCGCAGGGGUGAAUAGUGAAAGUCGGUUUUGCUGUCACUUAUAGAUGGAUCUCGGCCGCAUUAGCUGGUUGGUCCGGUAACGGGUUACCAAGGCAACGAUGCGUAGCCGACGUGAGAGGCUGAUCGCCCGCAUUGGAAGUGGGCCAGGGUCCAGGCUCCUACGGGAGGGCGCAGACGGGUACCUUCCGCAAUGGGCGAAAGCCUGGCGGAGCAACGCCGCGUGAGUGAUGAAGGUCUUCGGAUCGUAAAGAUCUGUUAUUAGUGAAGAACAAAUGUGUAAGUAACUAUGCACGUCUUGACGGUAACUAAUCAGAAAGCCCCGGCUAACUACGUG